rnacentral:rRNA from 1 species
GAUGAACGCUAGCGGCAGGCUUAACACAUGCAAGUCGAGGGGCAGCACGUGGUAGUAAUACUAUGGUGGCGACCGGCGCACGGGUGCGUAACGCGUAUACAACCUACCCUAUAGUGGUGAAUAACCCGGAGAAAUUCGGACUAAUACACCGUAAGUAUGGAAGUGGCAUCGCUUUUAUAUGAUAGAUUUAUUGUUAUGGGAUGGGUAUGCGUGACAUUAGGUAGUUGGUAGGGUAAUGGCCUACCAAGGCGACGAUGUCUAGGGGUUCUGAGAGGAAGGUCCCCCACACUGGUACUGAGACACGGACCAGACUCCUACGGGAGGCAGCAGUGAGGAAUAUUGGUCAAUGGGCGCAAGCCUGAACCAGCCAUGCCGCGUGCAGGAUGAAGGCUCUAUGAGUUGUAAACUGCUUUUAUGCAAGAAUAAUGUGGGCUACGUGUAGUUUUUUGAAUGUAUUGUAUGAAUAAGGACCGGCUAACUCCGUGCCAGCCGCCGCGGUAAUAC